UGGGGGAUAUUGCACAAUGGGCGAAAGCCUGAUGCAGCGACGCCGCGUGGGGGAUGAAGGCCUUCGGGUUGUAAACUUCUUUUGCUCUGAACAAGGCAUGCCUUUGGGGUGUGUUGAGUGUAGGGGUUGAUUAGCGCCGGCUAACUACGUGCCAGCAGCCGCGGUAAUACGUAGGGCGCGAGCGUUGUCCGGAAUUGUUGGGCGUAAAGGGCUUGUAGGUGGCUGGUUGCGUCUGUCGUGAAAGCUCAUGGCUUAACUGUGGGUUUGCGGUGGGGACGGGGUGGCGUGAGUGCAGUAGGGGAGGCUGGAAUUCCGGGUGUAGCGGUGGAAUGCGCAGAUAUCAGGAGGAAUACCGGUGGCGAAGGCGGGUCUCUGGGCUGUUACUGACGCUGAGGAGCGAAAGCGUGGGGAGCGAACAGG
rnacentral:rRNA from 1 species